CUUGGUCAUUUAGAGGAAGUAAAAGUCGUAACAAGGUUUCCGUAGGUGAACCUGCGGAAGGAUCAUUAAAAAAAGAGAAAUGCCCCGUUUUUUUCAUAAGAAUGGGUUCUAUUCCCUUAAACCGUGUCUACAUACCUUUGUUGCUUUGGCAGGCCGCCCUCGGGCGUCGGCUCCGGCUGAUAGUGCCUGCCAGAGGACCCAAACUCUAUGUUUAGUGAUGUCUGAGUACUAUAUAAUAUUUAAAACUUUCAACAACGGAUCUCUUGGUUCUGGCAUCGAUGAAGAACGCAGCGAAAUGCGAUAAGUAAUGUGAAUUGCAGAAUUCAGUGAAUCAUCGAAUCUUUGAACGCACAUUGCGCCCCUUGGUAUUCCGAGGGGCAUGCCUGUUCGAGCGUCAUUAUAACCACUCAAGCCUAGCUUGGUAUUGGGGUUCGCGUGUUCGCGGCCCUUAAAAUCAGUGGCGGUGCCGUCUGGCUCUAAGCGUAGUAAUUUCCCUCGCUAUAGGGUUCCGGUGGUUACUUGCCAAAACCCCCCAUUUUUCUAGGUUGACCUCGGAUCAGGUAGGGAUACCCGCUGAACUUAAGCAUAUCAAUAAGCGGAGGA
rnacentral:rRNA from 1 species